ACGCAAGUGUGACGGGGCUACCCAAAGUGCUCCAUAUAGGAGCUGUGGUAGGUGCGUAAUGUUCCCUACUAGAAAGGAGAGGGCAAGGCUGGUGCCAGCCGCCGCGGUAAAACCAGCUCUUCAAGUGGUCGGGAUAAUUAUUGGGCUUAAAGUGUCCGUAGCUGGUAAGGUAAGUUCCUGGUAAAAUUGGGCAGCUUAACUGUCCUUAUGCUAGGAAUACUGCUUUACUAGAGGGCGGGAGAGGUCUGAGGUACUACAGGGGUAGGAGUGAAAUCUUAUAAUCCUUGUAGGACCACCAGUGGCGAAGGCGUCAGACUGGAACGCGCCUGACGGUGAGGGACGAAAGCCAGGGGAGCGAACCGGAUUAGAUACCCGGGUAGUCCUGGCCGUAAACGAUGCACACUAGAUGAUGGUGCGGCCAUGAGCCGUAUCAGUGUCGUAGGGAAACCGUUAAGUGUGCCGCCUGGGAAGUACGGUCGCAAGGCUUAAACUUAAAGGAAUUGGCGGGGGAGCACCACAAGGGGUGAAGCCUGCGGUUCAAUUGGACUCAACGCCGGGCAACUUACCAGGGGAGACAGCAGAAUGAAGGUCAGGUUGACGACCUUACCUAACAAGCUGAGAGGAGGUGCAUGGCCGUCGCCAGUUCGUGCUGUGAGGUAUCCUGUUAAGUCAGGCAACGAACGAGACCCGUGCCUUUAUUUGCCAUCAAGAAGUCACGACUUCGUUGGGAACGAUAAAGGGACUGCCGUCGAUAAGACGGAGGAAGGAGCGGGCAAAGGCAGGUCAGUAUGCCCCGAAACCCCUGGGCUACACGCGGGCUGCAAUGGUGCGAACAAUGGGCUGUGACUCCGACAGGAGAAACCAAUCCCGAAAUCGCAUCUCAGUUGGGAUUGUCAACUGUAACCCGUUGACAUGAACGUGGAA
rnacentral:rRNA from 1 species